rnacentral:rRNA from 1 species
GAUGAACGCUAGCGGCAGGCUUAAUACAUGCAAGUCGAGGGGCAGCAUGGUGUAGCAAUACACUGAUGGCGACCGGCAAACGGGUGCGGAACACGUACAGAACCUUCCUUCGAGCGGGGAAUAGCCCAGAGAAAUUUGGAUUAAUACCCCAUAGUAUAUUGAAAAGGCAUCUUUGUAAUAGUAAAGAUUUAUCACUUGAAGAUGGCUGUGCGGCUGAUUAGGUAGUUGGCGGGGUAACGGCCCACCAAGCCUGCGAUCAGUAACUGGUGUGAGAGCACGACCAGUCACACGGGCACGGAGACACGGGCCCGACUCCUACGGGAGGCAGCAGUAAGGAAUAUUGGUCAAUGGACGCCAGUCUGAACCAGCCAUGCCGCGUGGAGGAUGCAGGUCCUCUCGCUUGUAAACUUCUUUUAUAUGGGACGAAAACAGGCUUUUCUAAGUCGUCUGACGGUACCAUAUGAAUAAGCACCGGCUAACUCCGUGCCAGCCGCCGCAGUAAGAC